rnacentral:lncRNA from 1 species
CGAAGAAGAGCCAGAGAGCUAACUUGCUCCCUUUCUGCUCUGUGAGGACACAAUGAGAAGUUGCAGUCUUUGCCUGGAAGAGGCUCUCACCAGAACCCAAUCCUGCCGGCACCCUGAUCCCAGAUAGCCAGCCUCCAGGACUGGGAGAAAGUCGUGCUGGUUUUAGCCACCUGGUCUAUGAUUUCUGCGGCUUCCUCGGGACCUCUCCUUGUCUCCAGCCUGUGGCACGACAUCCCACCUCCUCCCGGGAACCGUAACAAGCUAUCUGUCCAAAAGCAAGCAUCUCCUGGUCCGCUGGCCUCACCCUAUGUGAAUAAUAGAAAAGCUACAUUUUAA